GUGUGAUAAUUUAGCUCAGGGGUUAGAGCACUGGUCUUGUAAACCAGGGGCCAUGAGUUCAAAUCUCAUAAUACACA